rnacentral:rRNA from 1 species
GAUGAACGCUGGCGGCGUGCUUAACACAUGCAAGUCGAACGAAGCAUUUAGGACAGAUUACAUCGGUUUGAAGUUCUUUAUGACUGAGUGGCGGACGGGUGAGUAACGCGUGGGUAACCUGCCUUGUACUGGGGGAUAGCAGCUGGAAACGGCUGGUAAUACCGCAUAAGCGCACAAUGUUGCAUGACAUGGUGUGAAAAACUCCGGUGGUAUAAGAUGGACCCGCGUCUGAUUAGCUAGUUGGUGAGAUAACAGCCCACCAAGGCGACGAUCAGUAGCCGACCUGAGAGGGUGACCGGCCACAUUGGGACUGAGACACGGCCCAGACUCCUACGGGAGUCAGCAGUGGGGAAUAUUGCACAAUGGAGGAAACUCUGAUGCAGCGACGCCGCGUGAGUGAAGAAGUAAUUCGUUAUGUAAAGCUCUAUCAGCAGGGAAGAUAGUGACGGUACCUGACUAAGAAGCGCCGGCUAAAUACGUG